rnacentral:rRNA from 1 species
UGACGCAUGUGGAGAGCAUGAGCCGGGAAAGGAAAGACCGGUGCAAGCGGGACAGUAGCCAUGCAGGCAAAUCCGUGUGGCAAUACGAAGACGUGACGCGGACCGAAAUAAAGUAGGGAAGCAUGUGAGCCAUGUGCCAAGAAAAGCCGCUAUAGAUCAUACCGUACCCGUACCGUAAACCGACACAGGUAGAUGAGGAGAGAAUCCUAAGGCCGACGGGAGAAGCAUUGUUAAGGAACUCGGCAAAAUGACCCCGUAACUUCGGGAGAAGGGGUGCCCACGCGAGUGGGCUGCAGAGAAUAGGCUCAAGCAACUGUUUAGCAAAAACACAGGUCUAUGCGAAACCGAAAGGUGAGGUAUAUGGGCUGACGCCUGCCCGGUGCUGGAAGGUUAAGAGGAGGAGUCAGGCAACGAAGCUCCGAGUUUAAGCCCCAGUAAACGGCGGCCGUAACUAUAACGGUCCUAAGGUAGCGAAAUUCCUUGUCGGGUAAGUUCCGACCCGCACGAAAGGCGUAAUGAUUUGAGCACUGUCUCGACAAUGCACCCGGUGAAAUUGAAGUACCAGUGAAGAUGCUGGUUACCUGCGCCAGGACGGAAAGACCCCAUGGAGCUUUACUCCAGUUUGAUACUGGGAUUCGAUACUGAAUGUACAGGAUAGGUGGGAGGCUGAGAAGCGUGGACGCCAGUCUGCGGUGAGCCGCUGUUGGGAUACCACCCUUUGAGUAUUGGAUUUCUAACCUGCGCCCGUGACCCGGGCGGGGGACAAUGUCUGACGGGGAGUUUGACUGGGGCGGUCGCCUCCGAAAGGGUAUCGGAGGCGCUCAAAGGUUCCCUCAGAAUGGUUGGAAACCAUUCGCAGAGUGCAAAGGCAGAAGGGAGCUUGACUGUGACACCGACGGGUGGAGCAGGUACGAAAGUAGGACUUAGUGAUCCGGUGGUAUGAAAGUGGGAUUGCCAUCGCUCAACGGAUAAAAGCUACCCUGGGAUAACAGGCUUAUCACUCCCAAGAGUUCACAUCGACGGAGUGGUUUGGCACCUUGAUGUCGGCUCAUCGCAUCCUGGGGCUGUAGCAGGUCCCAAGGGUUGGGCUGUUCGCCAUUAAAGCGGUACGCGAGCUGGGUUCAGAACGUCGUGAGACAGUUCGGUCCCUAUCCGGCGCAGGCGUAGGAUAUUUGAGAGGAGCUGUCCUUAGUACGAGAGGACCGGGAUGGACAGACCGCUGGUGUAUCUGUUGGUGACCAACACCAUGGCAGAGUAGCCAAGUCUGGCAGGGAUAAACGCUGAAGGCAUCUAAGCGUGAAGCCCCCCUCAAGAUGAGAUAUCCCAAUAAGUAAGACCCCUUAGAGAGUAUGAGGUAGAUAGGCUUAAGGUGUAAGCAUAGUAAUAUGUUCAGCUGAUAUGUACUAAUAGGUCGAGGGCUUACCAA